ACCAGACACAGUGCAGUGACACACUGUGAACCAGAAAGAUCUUGAAGAUGGUUUCAUCAGGGUGGGUUUCUGUGAGUCAGGAAUUCAGAAGUGGCUUCUGGCUCAUGGACCGUCCUGAGGUCGUCGUUAAAAUGUCAGCUGUGGCUGCAGUCUCCUGAAGCUUGCCUGGGCUGGAGGGGCUGCUUCCAAGAUGGCUCACUCACAUGGCUGCGGGCAGGAGGCCUCAGUUUCUCACCACAUGGACCUCUUGGUAGAACUACGUGAGUAUUCUUGGGGCUUGGCAGCUGGCUUCCCGUAGAGCCAGUGAUCCCAGAAAACAAGACAAAGAUUGCAAUGUCUUCCGUGACCUAGCCUCAGAAGUCACACUCUAUCACUUCUGCAAUAUUUGAUUCUAUUGAUUAUACAAAUUGGCCCUACUCAGUGUGGGAGGGGACUAUACCACAGCAUGAAUACUAGGAGCCAGGGAUCCUUGAGGGUCAUCUUGGAGGCUGUCUACUGGAAUGUUUGUAUUCAUUCCUUCAAUAAACAGUGUUU
rnacentral:lncRNA from 1 species